CAGUCGCCGCGGUAACACGAAGGGGGCUAGCGUUGUUCGGAUUUACUGGGCGUAAAGCGCACGUAGGCGGAUCGAUCAGUCAGGGGUGAAAUCCUGGAGCUCAACUCCAGGACUGCCUUUGAUACUGUCGAUCUCGAGUCCGGAAGAGGUGAGUGGAACUCCUAGUGUAGAGGUGGAAUUCGUAGAUAUUAGGAAGAACACCAGUGGCGAAGGCGGCUCACUGGUCCGGUACUGACGCUGAGGUGCGAAAGCGUGGGGAGCAAACAGGAUUAGAUACCCCCGUAGUCCCUGUCUCUUAUAC
rnacentral:rRNA from 1 species